GAUGAACGCUGGCGGCGUGCCUAAUACAUACAAGUCGAGCGAACGGACGAGAAGCUUGCUUCUCUGAUGUUAGCGGCGGACGGGUGAGUAACACGUGGAUAACCUACCUAUAAGACUGGGAUAACUUCGGGAAACCGGAGCUAAUACCGGAUGAUAUUUUGAACCGCAUGGUUCAAAAGUGAAAGACGGUCUUGCUGUCACCUAUAGAUGGAUCCGCGCUGCAUUAGCUAGUUGGUAAGGUAACGGCUUACCAAGGCAACGAUGCAUAGCCGACCUGAGAGGGUGAUCGGCCACACUGGAACUGAGACACGGUCCAGACUCCUACGGGAGGCAGCAGUAGGGAAUCUUCCGCAAUGGGCGAAAGCCUGACGGAGCAACGCCGCGUGAGUGAUGAAGGUCUUCGGAUCGUAAAACUCUGUUAUUAGGGAAGAACAUAUGUGUAAGUAACUGUGCACAUCUUGACGGUACCUAAUCAGAAAGCCACGGCUAACUACGUG
rnacentral:rRNA from 1 species